rnacentral:lncRNA from 1 species
GAAUACAUUGAUUGAUUUUGAUAUUCAAAACCCAAUCAAUGUAAAUCACUAUUAACUACAAAAUAAAAGCAAUAUGAUCAUCUAAAUAAACGUAGAAAAAAAUAUGAAAAAAACCCAACACCCAUUCCUGAUUAAAAACUAUUAGAAAACUAGGAAUAGAAAAGCAUUUCCUCAACCAAUUGAACAAUUGAAGGGUAGCUAUGAAAAACCUACAGCUAAUAUCAUAUUUCAUGAUAAAAGAUGGAGUUUUCUUACUUUAAAUUCAAGAACCAGGGAAAAGUGUCUUCUCUCACCACUCUAUUUAACAGUGCUGGAAAUAUUAGCCAGCAAAACAGAUAAAGAAAAAUAAAUAAAUGGAAUAGACUGGAAAGAUUCACAGUUGGCACAAUUAUGUCUAUAUAAAAUCCUCAGGAAUGUACACUUUACAUACUAGAAUUUAAAAGUAAGUUUAGCAACUGUAUUACUUCGUUUUCAUGCUGCUGAUAAAGACAUACCUGAGACUGGACAAUUUACAAAAGAAAGGUUUAUUGGACCUAUAGUUCCACAUGUCUGGGGAGGCCUCACAAUCAUGGCAGCAGGCAAGGAGGGGCAAGUCACAUCUUAUGUGGAUGGCAACAGGCAAAGAGAGAGCUUGUGCAGGGAAACUCUUGUUUUUAAAACCACCAGAUCUCACGACACCCAUUCACUGUCAGGAGAACAGCAUGGGAAAGACCCACCCCCAUGAUUCAAUUGUCUCCCGCAAGGUCCCUCCCAAACCACAUGGGAAUUAUGGGAGCUACAAGAUGAGAUUUGGAUGGGGACACAGAGCCAAACCACAUCAGCAACAUGUCAGAACACAGAAAAAAAUGUAAAAUAUCACUGUAUUUCUAUGUACUAGUAGUGAACUGUCAGAUGUUAAAAUUCAAUUUCUUAGAAUGGCAUCAAAAAUAUGAAAUACUGGCCAGGCGUGUUGGCUCACACUUUGGAAGUCCCAUUGCUUUGGAAGGCUGAGGUGGGUGGAUACCUUUGAGGCCAGGAGUUCAAGACCAUCCUGAGCAACAGGGCAAAACCUCGUCUCUACUAAAAAUACAAAAAAUUAGCUGGGCAUGGUGGCCUGCACCUAUAAUCCCAGCUACUUGGGAGGCUGAGACACAAGAAUCACUUGAACCCGGGAGGCAGAGUUUGCAGGGAGCCGAGAUCGCACCACUGCACUCCAGCCUGGGGAACAAACUGAGACUCUGUCUCAAAAAAAAAAGAAAGAAAUACUUAUGGGUAAAUCUGAUAAAAUAAGUGUAAGACCUGUACACUAAAAAUUACAAAACAUUGCUGAAAUAAAUUAAAGAAGACCUAAAUAAUCGGAGAGAUAUACUUUGUUUAAAGGUCAGAAGACUCAGUAUUGCUAAAAUGAGAACUCUUCCCAAUGCAGUGCUAAUUAAAUUUCUAGCAGGCUUUUUGUAGAAAUUGAAAAGCACAUUUGAAAUUCAUAUGGGAGUGCAAACAAAACC